GAUGAACGCUAGCGGCAGGCCUAAUACAUGCAAGUCGAACGGUAAAUAUUGUAGCAAUACGAUAUGAGAGUGACGUACGGGUGCGUAACACGUAUGCCACCUACCCAAAACUGGAGUAUAGCUCGGGGAAACCCGAAUUAACCCUUCAUAGUAUCACUGGAUGGCAUCAUUUGGUGAUUAAAACUCAGGUGGUUUUGGAUGGGCAUGCGCCUGAUUAGCUAGUUGGGGGGGUAAAGGCCCACCAAGGCGAUGAUAAGUAGGGGAACUGAGAGGUUGAUCCCCCACACUGGCACUGAGAUACGGGCCAGACUCCUACGGGAGGCAGCAGUAGGGAAUAUUGGUCAAUGGAUGCAAGUCUGAACCAGCCAUGCCGCGUGCAGGAAGAAGGCCUUCUGGGUUGUAAACUGCUUUUGCCAGAGGAUAAAAUGGGCGUGCGCGCCUAAUUGAAGGUACCUGAUGAAUAAGCCACGGCUAACUACGUGCCAGCCGCCGCAGUAA
rnacentral:rRNA from 1 species